CGGAACGUGCCCUAGAGUGGGGGGAUAACUAGUCGAAAGACUAGCUAAUACCGCAUACGAUCUACGGAUGAAAGUGGGGGAUCGCAAGACCUCAUGCUCCUGGAGCGGCCGAUAUCUGAUUAGCUAGUUGGUGGGGUAAAAGCCUACCAAGGCGACGAUCAGUAGCUGGUCUGAGAGGACGACCAGCCACACUGGGACUGAGACACGGCCCAGACUCCUACGGGAGGCAGCAGUGGGGAAUUUUGGACAAUGGGGGCAACCCUGAUCCAGCAAUGCCGCGUGAGUGAAGAAGGCCUUCGGGUUGUAAAGCUCUUUUGUCAGGGAAGAAACGGUAGUAGCUAAUAUCUAUUACUAAUGACGGUACCUGAAGAAUAAGCACCGGCUAACUACGUGCCAGCAGCCGCGGUAAUACGUAGGGUGCAAGCGUUAAUCGGAAUUACUGGGCGUAAAGCGUGCGCAGGCGGUUGUGUAAGACAGAUGUGAAAUCCCCGGGCUCAACCUGGGAAUUGCAUUUGUGACUGCACGGCUAGAGUGUGUCAGAGGGGGGUAGAAUUCCACGUGUAGCAGUGAAAUGCGUAGAUAUGUGGAGGAAUACCGAUGGCGAAGGCAGCCCCCUGGGAUAACACUGACGCUC
rnacentral:rRNA from 1 species